rnacentral:rRNA from 1 species
AUUGAACGCUGGCGGCAGGCCUAACACAUGCAAGUCGAGCGGAUGAAGGGAGCUUUCUCCUGGAUUCAGCUGCGGACGGGUGAGUAAUGCCUAGGAAUCUGCCUGGUAGUGGGGGAUAACGUCCGUAAACGGGCGCUAAUACCGCAUACGUCCUGAUGGAGAAAGUGGGGGAUCUUCGGACCUCACGCUAUCAGCUGAGCCUAGGUCGGAUUAGCUAGUUGGUGGGGUAAAGGCCUACCAAGGCGACGAUCCGUAACUGGUCUGAGAGGAUGAUCAGUCACACUGGAACUGAGACACGGUCCAGACUCCUACGGGAGGCAGCAGUGGGGAAUAUUGGACAAUGGGCGAAAGCCUGAUCCAGCCAUGCCGCGUGUGUGAAGAAGGUCUUCGGAUUGUAAAGCACUUUAAGUUGGGAGGAAGGGCAGUAAGUUAAUACCUUGCUGUUUUGACGUUACCAACAGAAUAAGCACCGGCUAACUUCGUG